CAGUAGCAAAACCGGAUAACAGGACCGAGCUCUUCGAACUGGUGAAGAACGGCCUCGUCAGAAACGCCUUCGAGAAAGCUCUGUCCCUGAACGAUCCUUCCAUGGUCUGGUGGCUUUGCACCAAGGUAAUCCAUUCACGUCCUCCAGCUGCUCAUCAAAGCUUUGUCAGCUCAGGUGGAGCAUACCGUCCUGCUUGUCUUCAGUGAAUCAAUGCUCAUGGAACUGGCCGAGCAAAUCAACACCAACUUCAAGGAAGACACUGCUCGCAGGUUGCUCUGGAUCGACGAGAUUGGCAUCUUGCUGUUCAAAGACGUCAAUGGACAGGCAUGGUCAUCACCUCAGGUGCUGAGGAUCCUGGAGCAGCUUUCACAGAACUUCCACGGCAUGAUGGCUAUAACACCGCCAAAGAGCGAGCUGGGGAUGAAGCUGGUGAACAUGCUGGGUGGCACCAACAUGGGUCUCCAGGUUCGUAUGAAGCUCUUCGUGUUAUUCAUUUGAUUCAAAUCGUUUGUUGUCGCAGCAUAUCUGUUAGGCACCAGCUUUGACUACGUGGUCAACAUCGGUCAAAGGGUAUAUGAAGGCAUGUUAGGGUAAGGGACUUAACUUACCCUAGGGCUCACAGUGGAGUGGUGGUGCAGUGGAACUUUUGAGGUAGCUCAGGGGUGGUUGGGUGGUGAGGAACCUCAAGAGGUGGCAUAGCAUAAUCUAGGGCAACUAGAUUUUUGUCUUUUUGCGCCGGAUCAUAACAUUGGUAUCAGAGAAGUUGGUUGCGAUGGCCGACCAAGCUGAACGCUGGAAUCCUAUUGUCGAUGGUGGUGCCAACAAUGGUGCUGACGAAGCUGCAGAGAUUUAGACCAUUCAAGAUGUGGUUCAUGAGCUGCGAGCCCUUAACCGAAAUCAGUAAGAGAUGCAAGAUGAGAUGCAUGGCAUGAUGGAUACCAUGCGUGGGCGUGUUGAGGCACUCGAGGCUGGACGGGGUAGCGCUCCAAGUAAACCUUCUUUGGUAGAUCGACUCAAAAUUCCAAAUUUUUCCGGUGAUGGUGGUGUGGACGAGUGUCUCGCUUGGCUAGCCAAUGUGAAGAAGUUCUUGGCUGCUAGAGGAACUCCAGAUGCAGAGGCUUUAGUGGCUAUUCCGAUGGUUUUGCGUGAUGCGGGUUUUCGAUGGUGGAAUUGGCUUGAGGAGUCCCGUGUUGUGGAUAAGAAACCACCAGUGUCUACCAUGGAUGAGUUUGAGGUUGCUUUUCAUUUAUGUUUUGCCCCUCAUUACGACAUGGAGAAUGCUCGUACAGAACUUUGACAUUUUCAGCAAAGGAAAAUGAUGCUCGGGGACUAUAUUGAGAAGCUUACUUGCUUGAUUAGUCGUGUUCCAACGAAGGAUCCAGAUCAGAACAAGUCCUACUUCAUUGAUGGCCUACAUAGUGAGAGCAUGCGGCAACACUUGCGUCAUUCUCAGCCUACAAAGAGUUUGAAGGAGCUCUUUGAUGUGGCUCGUCGACUUGACAAUGAUAAGCACAAGUCUCGCAAGCGUUUGCGGAGUCCUUCUGUCGAGAAUCGUCGUGAUGAUCACCAUGGACACAAGGAUGGGAACAAGCAUCACAAAUUGAAGUCAGUGGUGACUACUUCGGAUGCAAAGGGGUCCAAGAAGUAGAAGUUCUUUGUGAAGAAUUAUAGACAAGGUUGUCAUCAUUGCAGCGAAUUUGGACACUACAAGGCUGAUUGUCCGCAGUUGAAGAACAAGCAGCAGGACAAGAAGAAUGGCCAAUCUUCUUCUCACGGUAAGUCCGAUACUAAAAAGUUGUAAACUUUGCAGCGUGAGGAUGAGGAGAACGACCAUUCCGGUUGGAGGAAGCGACUUUCGAUCGUUGCUCAUCAGCUCAACUGUGUGUGGAACAAGAUGGAGCUCGAGGAUAUGCGUGAAUCAGCUUUAAUGCUGGAGGGUGUGUUCCGUGGCGAUCUAAUGCGGAUUUUACUAGAUAGUGGGAGCGAUGACAACUUUGUUUCUGCUGCGGAGCAUGGCCUGGUCACACGUGGAGUUCUUCCAUACACAGUGGAAGGUGCAGCCACCUUUACUCAACAUUUCGAUGCUUGUGUCGAGGGGCUGGAAGUGUUGGUUGGCAAAACCACACUUGUGAAGACUUUUUAUCUCACGGAUAUCCAUCGUGUGGAUCUCAUUCUUGGGAUGCCAUGGUUGGCGAAGGUGGAUCCAGAGAUAAAGUGGAGCAUUAAGCGUAUCUCGCUGGAGUAUGGUGGCGUUAAAGAUGUGUGGUUUAGCGAGGGCGUUCAACCACCAGUUGUUAUGCUCUCUGCUACAUCUUUGAAACGGGCUUGUCGUAAUAGAAAAGCACUUUCAAGUUACUUGCUGUUUGUUCGUGACUUGGGGGACCAAGGCACGUGUGGGGGAGAAGCAAUAGUACAGGAUGUACUUGACGAGUUUUCUGAUGUUUUUCCAUAUGAACUUCCUCAUGGAUUACCUCCGUUACAAGGUGUGGAGCAUGGGAUUACAUUAGAGCCGGGGAUGUGGCCAAUUUACCAGUGUCCAUUUUGGUUAAGUUAUGCGCAGGAGCAAGAAGUUCAACGACAAGUCAAGGAGUUACUUAAGUUUGGAUUUAUUCAGCCAAGUAAGUCUCCGUUUGGUGCUCCAGUCUUGCUUGUGAAGAAGAAAGACGGUUCAAUGCGGAUGUGUAUUGACUACCGUGCUUUAAACAAGAAGACAGUGAAGGACAAGAUGCCGAUGCCACGUGUGGAUGAUAUCUUGGACAAGCUUGGUGAAGCACGAGUGUUUACUAAGAUUGAUCUGAGGAGUGGAUAUCAUCAGAUUGCAAUGGAUGAUGCAUCUAUCUCCAAGACGGCAUUCAACACAAGUUUCGGACAUUUUGAGUUUACCGUUAUGCCGUUUGGUUUGACGAAUGCACCGGCCACAUUUACUCGGUUGAUGACGGAGGUAUUUGGGCGUUAUCUUCAUGAGUUUGUGGAGAUUUUCUUGGACGAUAUUCUUGUUUUUAGCAAAGAAUAUGGAGGAGCAUAGGGUGCAUUUGCGCAAGGUUCUUUUGUUACUUCGAGAUAGCAAACUUUAUGCGAAGAAGAGCAAAUGUGAAUUUGCAAAGUCGGAGGUGGAAUAUCUAGACCAUAUUGUGACAUCUAAGGGUGUCAAGACAGAUCCAAGGAAGGUGGCUAUGAUGGAAAAUUGGCCUACACUGACUACAAUGGCCGAGUUGCGCAGUUUUCUUGGUAUGGCUAGUUACUACCGACGUUUCCAGCAUAAGUUUGCAGAGGUGGCUAUUCCUUUGACAUGGUUGUUACGCAAGAAUGUGCCAUUCGAGUGGAAGAAGCCACAAGAGGAGAGUUUUGUGGUGCUGAAAUGAUUGUUGAGCGAGGCUUUAGUGCUUCGCAUUGCUGAUCCAUUGAAACCUUACGAGGUGACAUGCGAUGCGAGUGGUUAUGCACUGGGAGGAGUUUUUAUGCAAGAGGGACAGCCUAUUGCAUAUGAGAGUCGAACUUUGAAUUCCGCAAAGCAAUACUAUUCCACAUAUGAGCAAGAGUUACUCUCUAUUGUUCAUGCUUUGUAGACGUGGCGGCACUAUCUUUAUGGUGCAAUGUUCGUGGUGUUGACAGAUCACAAACCACUUGUGUAUCUUUUCACACAGAAGGAGUUGAACACUAGGCAAGCUCGUUGGAUGGUCAAACUCAUGGAGUUUGGGGAGUUUCCUAUUGAGCAUUGUCCGGGAAAAUCCAAUGUGGUGGCAGAUGCUUUAUCUCGUGUUCGUCAUGUGACGACAUUACAAACACGAUUUUGUCAUCAUUUGAGUAAGGUGGUCAGUGGGUUUGGACAGUUGGUUGAGCAUGCUCAGGCUCAGGAUGCUGAGGUGGCCUCUUUGCGUGACCAGAUGGAAGCUCCUUUCUCAUUGGUGGAUGGGAUUCUCUAUUACAAUGGCCGUGUAUAUUUGCCACGGGUGGAUGCGUUAAUUACUCAAGUUUUAUUCCACUAUCAUGAUCGUCCAGAGGCCGGUCAUUUUGGGGGGAAGAAGACGUAUAAAUUGAUUAAGCGCAACUUUUAUUGGAGGAAUAUGAAGGUUGAUAUCCUCAAGUAUUGUAAAUCAUGCGAGCUUUGUCAGCGGGUUAAGGUGCCACGAGAGAAGCCGGGGGGACUUUUGCAACCUUUACCUAUUCCUCAGAGCCGUUGGUGUAGUAUCUCUAUGGACUUCAUCACUUGUUUGCCACGAACACAGAGGCAAAAGGAGCAAGUAUGGGUUAUAGUGGAUCGGUUGACAAAGUAUGUGCGGUUGUUGGCUCUUCGGAAGAUUGUCACUGCCUCAAACUUGGCUGCGGUUUACUUGGAGAAGGUUUUUCCUGAUUUUGGUUUGCCAAAGGACAUCAUUAGUGAUCGAGAUUCAAAGUUCACCAGUGGAUUUUGGAAAAGCUUUGCAAAGGUUAUACAAAUGACUUUGAAACUCUCGAGUGGAGGUCAUCCUUAGACAGAUGGGCAAACCGAGCGUGUAAAUCAAAUGGUGGAGGAUAUGCUACAUUGUAGCAUUGGUCAAAGGCAAGGAUAGUGGGAUUUUUAUCUUCCGUUGGUGCAAUUUGCUUACAACAAUAGCCAACACAGUGGAACCAAGCUAAGUCCUUACUUUGCCAUAUUUGGAAGGCAUCCUCGAAUAGUAGUGGAGUUGGGAUUGCAUUUGAGUAAAGACAUUCAAGAUAAGCUUGAUUCCAAGGCAACUGAUCUGGCCACAGAACUUGAUGAGAUCUUGGUGGUGUGCAAACAGAAUUUGCAAGCAGCUCAGGAUAGAGCGGAGAAGUUUGCCAAUGAGCAUCACCAAUUCCAGGAAUAUAAGGUGGGUGGUCUGAUCUUUGUACGCGUGAUCUUUCCGUCAAGUGAGCGGUAGAACACCUUGGUGCCUUUACGGACAGGGAAGAGUGAUAAACUUUCCCAUCGAUAUGCUAGUCCAUAUGAAGUGCUGGAGCACUUUGGUAAAGCGGCUUAUCGGGUGUGGCUGCUAGCUGGGGUGAAAAUUCAUCCGGUAUUUUAUGUCAGCCAGUUGAAAGGUGUACUAUUUCGGAGUGACGGGCCCAAUGCCUCCUUGAUGUAUACAGCUGUGGAAGAUGGACCAGAAGCUUGAGUAGGAUUCCCUAGAAAGGGUGAUCACAAAUUCAACUCGUCCUUGGGACAAGGACUUUGUUGGGGGGGAAGAAUUGUUAGGCGCCAGCUUUGACUACGUGGUCAACGUCAGUCAAAAGGGGGCUCAAGGGUAUAUGAAGGCAUGUUAAGGUAAGGGACUUAACCUACCCUAGGGCUCACAGUGGAGUGGCGGCGCAAUGGAGCUUUUGAGGUAGUUUGGGGGUGGUUGGGUGGUGAGGUGGUGUAGCAUAAUCUAGGGCAACUAGAUUUUUGUCUUUUUGCGCCGGAUCAUAACAGUAUCUGAGUUGCAGUUGACAGCAAAGUUCAACACAUGAGAGUCCUUGGAGGAUACUUUCCAGUGGAACACCGGUAGUUUCGGAGUAUUUCGAUGUUCUAAUUUCCUGCCUGCCAAAAGCAUCAACCAUGCUUCAUGAAAGAACCAUAAAGAACUUACCAAUUCCCGUUCUGAACUUUGAGUAAACACCUAUCAUCGUUUCAUCCUGCGACAAAUAUCCAAGAACAAAGCUCUCACCAUUCUUUAGUUUUAAACUUGAGUAGACGGGUGAAGAUCCCAACCUUUUCGAUCUAGCAGCAGCAGUAGCAAGCAGCCUUGGCAGCUUCCGCAGCAGCGUAGACACCAGUAAUUCUCGUCGCCACAGCAUCGAGGAUCAUUGCUCUCCGCUCAAAGAACGACUUUGCCACUUUCAGCUUCUCGGAUCCCCAUAGGCUUGUAGACGAUCCCGGCAGCUAGCCGCUGCUUCAUGACCUUGGCUGGACGAACGUAAGCAUCGCCCAGCUUGGCCUUCAAUCUCUUUGGCACCUGAAAAUCCAAUCGACCACCACCACCACCCCCCGCUUUGUUGCGCUUGCCCGGAUUCUUGGAGCCGGUGCUCUCGCCGUGCAAGGACGAAGAAUUUGCUGGAGCCACACCAGCAAGCGCCUUGUCUUGCUCUUUGAUCCCUUCCUUCUUGGCGUGCUCGGACCAGAGAUCGCGCGAUGCGAACAAUGCUGAGUACGUGGGGCUCUUCUUGGCGUAGAGGAAGGGAUUGGGACGUGGAUUGUGGAUGUAGAGGCGCAACGAGCGAGCUCCACUGCAAGAACCCUAUCGAAAUAUCGAUAUCGAGGAUGACAAGAAAAGCCAUUUCUUAUGCCUGAUUAAAGUAUAAUUCCCAGACAAGACUUAGGAUUUAUAAUUACUCAAAAGAAAAGUCCACGGUAGACUUUUCCCACGCUGCAAAGCAAUGGAGCGGCGCUAGUGGUGAUCACCGACGAGCAUGGCAGCAGCGAAUUUGCUCGAGGCGAUUCGAAUCGCGGACAAGGUUGGCACAAGAUCCACGAACACAAACUCGAGCAAGGUCUGUAGAAACCAAUGUAGGAUCCUCAUCGCGGCGGUCGGCUAUGUCCGAGACUAUCUCAAGCAAAUCCAGGAUCUCAACUUCGCGAGCAACAGGCGAGCCUUCGUAUGGGACGAAACCGUGGCUGUCCUUAAAAGAGGCCUCCAUCUCCUCAAGUCAUGCCAAGAGGGCGAUUGGAUCGCUCGGAGCCUGCUGUUUGAGGAAAGCUGCGAUGAUUUCCAGAGCAUUUACGCCGAGAUCUACAACUGCGUCGAGCUCGUCAGCGUCUAUCUCUUUCAGCUGGCACCGUCCACCUCGCACAGAUCCAGGAUUGCCGAGGCUUACAACUCGUGCCUCAUGAGGCAGAAUUCGAGCAGCAUGCUGGAAGAAGCCGGAAGGAACGAUCGGAAGGAGCUCAUGGCUCUCGCAAUGAACCAAGAGCCGGGAAGCCUGACGACCGAGACAGAACGAGCCAAAGAGAUACUCUGCUCCAUGCUCCUGGGAAACAAGUCAGUGAUCAACCACAAGGAACUCAAGCUGAGAACACACCUGGGACAAGGAGCUUACGGAACCGUGUACGAAGCAAUCUGGCUCGGUCACAAGUUCGCGGUGAAAGUCUUCGCUCAAGGUGACACCAGCUUCGCCAAAGAGCUCGCGGUUCUCGGAGCUCACAAGCAUCCCAACGUGUUGCACAUUGCCGGCCAUUCUUUCGAUGGAGAGAAGCGGCAGUACUCGCUGGUGAUGGAGAAGAUGGACAUGGACCUGGCAAACUACCUCCUCAAGAAGAACUCCCUCUCGUUGCUGUCGAUCGUGGCAGUGAUGCUCCAAGUCGCUACUGGCAUGGCUUGGCUUCACUCGAAGAACGUAAUCCACCGGGACCUCAAGCCGCAGAACAUCUUGGUUGGCGAAGAAGACAACGAUCUCGUGAGUAUCAGGAUUGCCGACUUUGGAGUCUCGAGGCCCGAUUUCAUCUCCUCCCUCAUCAGCGAAGCCACCCCCAAGCAAGGCACCAGAAACUUCAUGGCACCAGAAGUGUGGACCAGCGAGCGCUACACGAAGAAGGCCGACGUUUACAGCUACGGGAUGCUGAGCUACCAGCUUGUCACUGGAAACAUUCCGUUCAAGGUCGGGAUGGACAUGGAGCAAGUCCUUCGAGGCAAGCGUCCUGAGAUACCAGCCACCUGUCCAGAGUUCCUGUCGCAGCUCAUGCGGGAAUGCUGGAACCACGAUGCGAAAGAGAGGCCUUCCUUCUCGGAUAUCUGCGAGCGGCUGAAGCAGCUCAAAUCCAGGAUCAUCACUGGCACCGACUCCACCGACGAGCUACGAGCCAAGUUGGUUGAAGCAGCCAGGUCAUCUUCCUCUUCUUCGUACUCGUCGUCUUCCUCGUCCUCGUCGCACAGCAGGACUCGAGUAAACCUGGAUUCUCUUGUCCAAGCGACUGAGAAGCUUUGGACCCAAAAUCCCCCGCCUUCCCGUGUCCAGGUAACUCUUUUGCUUUAUGUAACUUCUGGAGCUCACCACCUUUGGGUUCAGCCGGUACCACACCGUCCUCACCACGUCGCACCAUUACCAAAACCAGAUAAAAGGACCGAGCUCUUCGAACUGGUAAAGAACGGCCUCAUCAUAACGCCUUCGAGAAAGCUCUGUCCCUGAACGAUCCUUCCACGGUCUNNNNNNNNNNNNNNNNNNNNNNNNNNNNNNNNNNNNNNNNNNNNNNNNNNNNNNNNNNNNNNNNNNNNNNNNNNNNNNNNNNNNNNNNNNNNNNNNNNNNCUCGUCCUUUGUCACUUAGGUGGACCAUACCGUCCUGCUUGUCUUCAGUGAAUCAAUGCUCAUGGAACUGGCCGAGCAAAUGAACACCAACUUCAAGGAAGACACUGCUCGCAGGUUGCUCUGGCUCGACGAGAUUGGAAUCUUGCUGCUCAAAGACGUCAAUGGAUGGGCAUGGUCAUCACCUCGGAUGCUGAGGAUCCUGGAGCAGCUUUCACAGAACCUCCACGGCAUGAUGGCUACAACACCGUCAAAGAGCGAGCUGGGGAUGAAGCUGGCGAAAGCGCUGGAAGGUACCAACGUGGGUCUCCAGGUUCGUAUGAAGCUCUUCGUGUUAUUCGUUUGAUUCAAAUCGUUUGUCGUCGCAGCAUGUCCGAGUUGCAGUGGACAGCAAAGCUCAAUACAUGAGAGUCCUCGGAGGAUACUUUCCAGCGGAACACCGGUAGUUUCUGAGUAU
rnacentral:lncRNA from 1 species